CUAUAAUCGAUAAUGUCAAAAGCCGCUCGGAAGUCUAACAUAACAGCCCCCACAAUCUUUUUAUCAUCAAUUUCCCUCAGCCAAUCAGUCAUUUGUAUGAUAGUGCAUUGAUCAGUUACAGUUUAAAGACACUUUUUGUUUUUUUUUUGCCCAGUUGACCUUUUAAGGGCUACCUAUCUGUUGUCUAAUGGACACAGGAUCACAAGUUACAAUGACGUUUUUUUCAGAAACACUUUGGCCAGCACAUUACUGGAAGACCCCUCAGAAUGGUUAUCCCUAAAAGCAGCUAAUGGAUUGAACAUUUCAUAUUUGUGGUAUGUACUGUUGGAUGUGAAAAUGGGUGAUGUUCUCAUUCCGGACUGUGGUAUUGUGGUUGUCCAAGACCAUUGUUUAGCCAAUACAGAUGGCCUAGUGGGAACAAACAUAAUAAAAAACUGCCUGGACACCUUGACAAAAGACAAUUUGACUGUGCCUUUCUAGUGGACUUGUCUAGCAGUAGGUGUGGUAAAGACCACGAAGGUGUGCACCAAAGUUUGCAGUCACCAAUGGGAUUACAGGGUAUGUACGUACCAUUAAUUGCUAUCCUCUGAAGACUCCAGGUUAAAAGUGAAAUCCUGGUGUGGGGUCGGACCAGAGCGGGAGAAGAGGGCAAGAACUACCAGUGUCUAGUGGAGCCAAUCAUUGAGAAUGAGUUGCUCAUCACCCAAGCUGUGUUCAGAGUCCAGCAGGGAAGGCUGCCUAUCCGACUGAGGAACAUCGGAGACUGCCCUACGUCGACACCAAAAACUUGCCAUGGCCUUCAUAGUGAACCCUGCAGACGUCAUACAGGAGAAUGAUCUUCUGUUGUUACAGAAUCGUUGCAGAAAGCAUUGAUUCAAGGUUUCCAUCCAGAAAACACAGUCCCAAACCAGCUGGAGGACUGAGACCCGGCAUUCCAGGAGAUACCACCCAAAGUGGUAAAGGCUUGUGUGUGGGGGUGGGGUGGAGGACAAACAAGCCAUCAGAAGACCAGGAUGCAGAAGAAGGACACGGCAAGCCACUCAUACCAGAGAUAACUGGCUCAGAGGAAGAGCCUUCAAGAACCGCACUGUGCUUUCUAUCUUCUCAUACUUAUAAGAGAAAAAUGGCAUGAUCAUUAAGGCUACACUUUUACAUGAUCUCCAUCAGAGAUCCAUUCCUAUUACUGAAACAUGGUAUAGUACUUUAAGAGUUUUAAAUGAAAAUAUGAGAUAGUUACAAAACUGAAAUGGUUGUUAUAUGGUAGGCCUAGUUUACAUGUACAUUCAAAAACCUUUCCAUUAAAAGUAGAUGUCUAAAUGUGUGCUGUGUUAACACAGGUCAGGCAAGGUUUCCAUAAAGGAGUCUUAAACACUCCCACUGGACACACAGUGGUUGAAUCAACAUUGUUUCCACAUCAUUUCAAUUAAAUUACGCUGAACCAACGUGGAAUAGACAUUGAACUGACGUCUGUGCCCAGUGGGCUGUGACUUCUGGGAGAGGAUGAGGGCAGCCACCUGACAGACAGGAACAAGAGUCGAAAGAGGCCCUAGAUGUGCUCCGGGAAUGGAAUCAUCUUACAUGGAAAGAGGGUGUGUUGUGUCGGACAUUCCAGGACCUCAAAGAGGUAGAGAUUGUCCAGCUGGUUGUCCCUACUGGUGGGAGACAGCUGGGAACUGUAUCAUGGGAGGGCAGGAUACUGGGAGUCAGAAAAGGCCACAGCGCUAAUCCAUGCCAGAUUCUAUUGGCCAAACCUAGCCAGAGACAUUCCAAAUUGGUGUGCCACUUGUCAGCCUUGUGUCUUACGAAAGCCCCAGUUUGUCUGAAACAAGCACCUUCAGUGCCAAUCAAAAUGUCAGCCCCUCUUGAACUAAUGUCUAUAGACUACCUGAGCAUAGGUCAUCCAGAGACCCUCAUCACAAUGUGCUGGUAAUGGUAGACCAUUUCACUAAAUAUACUUGGGCCACCCCUACUAGGGACCAGACGGAGACUACUACUGCAAAUGCACUGUGGCAGAAGGGAACGGCGGGUGUGAAAGAUUUAAUAGAAUGAUCAUAGGUUUGCUGGGGACGCUUGGAGUGGAAAGACGGAAAGACGGCGCUGGCAUUUCUUGCAGGUGCUGAGCCGGAAGCUGGAGAUGGGUGCCAUGGUGAUGCAGAGAAACCACGAGCAGGAGAUGGGUGCCAUCGUGCCACGGAGAGACUGCAGGUGGGAGAUGGGUGGCCAUGGGACUCCAAUCUGAAGAUGGGGACCGCUGUGGCAGGGCUGAAAAUGGCCAAUGUAACCUUCAUGAACCAAGAGAUCUACAAGGACCACCAAGGGAGUUCACCCCAUAAGAAACAGAGACUUAGGUUGGGUUAUGUUAUGGCCAUUGGGGACACUGACCUUUCAGCGGGGAAGGAUGUAACAGGGUUCUACAAACCUGCUCAACGUUAUUACUCCUGUCACUAGUGUGGUUUGACUGAGCACAUAUUUUACUUCCUUCACUUGACUGUUUUCACAUUUUGAAUUAUUUUCACGCUUGAGAAUUCUGCACUUAACGAUUGAUUUUGCGCACGUCACCAUAGUUUGCUGUGUUUCACGAUUGAUUUAAGGUGUGUACAGUGCUGAUUACACCCCUCCCUCUCUUUCUCUCUCUCUUCCCUUCCUACAUAAUGAUCUCCAGUCAGUUCUCUGGUAACAAUGUCUGACACCAGGUGUUUCUGUUAAGGUUGGUCCGCUAUCCUUUUCCUCAUGGUUGUGUGCCCUAUUGUAUAAUUAUUGGAAUGCUGUCUGAUAUCGGGUGUAUGUGGCAAGGUCUGUGCUGGGCCGCAACUGGAUUGCUAGAAACCCUGAGCUGCCCGUGAGCUAUCCACGCAACUGUUGAUGCUACUGUAGAUACUGCCGCUGAGCAGCUACUGAGCUACUAAAUGAACUGAGCUCAACUGAAUGUGCGCAGUACGUGAAGCAGACUACGGUGGGCCGCUCUGCUUAAACACCCCAACAGCAACGGAGGAACUGAACUAGCCUACUGGACUGCUGGCAAUCCUUUUUAAUCAAUAACCUUUUUUUGUGACUCCCUUUCCUCUUCCCUUAGAAUAUUUAAUCAAUAUUGUUGUUUUGAAUAGAGCGAGGGUGUGGUUUCUCUUUGUCAUCCGGGUGUCAAUGCUCAAACCUGGUUUAUUCUGAAAGUAUUUGCGUCUAGUCUCGCCCCGAUACACACCGUUCCUUAUAGAAGCACCUGGUUUAGUGAUUGUUGUGAUCAGUGUCUAGGCAGCAGAAUCCUCAUAACAUAUUUCCAAGCUCUUUGAUAUAUCUGGAUGAUGGUUGGUUCUUAAGUGGAGCUUGUACAGACGUGCUCAAAUUUGUUAGUACCCAUCCACAAAAAAACGAAGAAUGCACAACUUUCUCUGAAAUAACUUGAAACUGACAAAAGUAAUUGGCAUCCACCAUUGUUUAUUCCAUAUUUAAUUGAAAUCAGACCUUGAUUUUUUUAUUCAACAUUAUAUUGUAAAGAACAAACAAAUGAAAAUGGCAUGGGCAAAAAUGAUGGGACCCGUAACCUAAUAUUUUGUUGCACAACCUUUAGAGGCAAUCACUGCAAUCAAAUGUUUUCUGUAGCUCUCAAUGAGACUUCUGCACCUGUUAACAGGUAGUUUGGCCCACUAUUCCUGAGAAAACUGCUCCAGCUGUCUCAGGUUUGAUGGGUGUCUUCUCCAGACUGCAAGUUUCAGCCCUUUCCAUAGAGCUUUCUGACACUGGGCAGUACGUUUCACUCCAGAAUGCCUUGAUGGUCUUGAUUUCAUUGUGCCCUGCACAGAUUCAAGGCACCCUGUGCCAGGCGCAGCCUCAAAACAUAACCGAGCCGCCUCCAUGUUUCACUGUAGGUAUGGUGUUCUUUCUUUGAAAGCUUCUUUUUUUUUGUCUCUGAACACAGAGCUGAUGUGACCUGCCAAAAAUAUCAAAUUUUGACUCAUCUGUCCGAAGGACAUUCUUCCAGAAAGAUUGUGGCUUGUCAAUAUGCGUCUUAGCAAAUUCCAGUCUGGCUUUGUUUUUCUUUCAAAAGUAGUCCUCCUGGGUCUUCUUCCAUGGAGCCCACUUUUGCUCAAAAAGCGACUGAUGGUGCGUUCAGAAACUGACGUACCUUCACCCUGGAGUUCAGCUUGCAUCUCUUUGGCAGUUAUCCUUGGUUCUUUUUCUACCAUUCACACUAUCGUUCUGUUCAAUCUGGGGUUGAUUUUCCUCUUGCUGCCUUGCCCAGGGAGGUUGGCUACAGUUCCAUGGACCUUAAACUUCUUAAUAAUAUUUGUAACUGUUGUCACAGUAACAUCAAGCUGCUUGGAGAUGGUCUUGUAGCCUUUACCUUUACCAUGCUUGUCUAUUAUUUUCUUUCUGAUCUCCUCAGACAAAUCUCUCCUUUGCUUUCUCUGGUCCAUGUUCAGUGUGGUGCACACAAUGAUACCAAACAGCACAGUGACUACUUUACUCUGGUCCAUGUUCAGUGUGGUGACCACAAUGAUACCAAACAGCACAGUGACUACUUUACUC